rnacentral:lncRNA from 1 species
CUUGUGCAGAUAGACAGAAACAAUCUUAUCUGUGAGCCACAAAACCAUUAGGGCUUUGCCUCGGAGAAAAGGCAGAUGCCAACAUCAAUCAGAACAACUCACCCUGUAUGAACAAAAUGAUGUGUAAGGCAAAGAGUUGUGCACACAAGGAUGGAGGACACUGGGGACUCAACCACAGGAGGAGAGACACUUCUUUUGUGUGAGUGACUGAAGGAAAUCAUUCGUAGCUAUGUGUAGUGACAGUAGUUAGAAAUGGAAGGGAUUACUACAGGAUGGAUUCAUUUUAUUUUUCCUGUAAAAUAGAGGUGAUGGCUAUUUGCUGAAAAUGAUGGGAUGGGAAGAAUUAGAAUUAAAGUAUGUGAGUGAGUAGGGUAAAGUCUGAAAAACUGGACUGUAAGUUACCUGAUAGAAUGCUGCUAGUCCAGGAUCCCACCAUCUCCAGAGGACAAUACGGAGACAAGAAGUUUCUGUUGUGGUGGUUUGUUUCAUAGCACUGAGGAGCAAACCCCAAGGGUUUGUAAGUGCAGCAAGUGCUCUAGCACUAAACUGCAUUCCAGCCUGAGAAAGGUCCAGAGAAAGAAUGGAUCAUCUUUCUAGUCCAACACUUUCACCUCCC